CCUUUUUCGAAUACAUAAAACACACAAAAAAUUUCAAAAUAAACACCAAUGUAAAAUAUGAUAAGAACACUAUAAUAUCCUCAAUACCAAAUAACCAGGGGGUCGAUUUCGAGCCGGCCGCUCCCUUGCUGAUAUCAUUGAACGGGAACCCCAGAAUUGGUUUACAGAGCAAUACAAUAUCGGGCAUAGUCAAAAGAAAUAU
rnacentral:rRNA from 1 species